UCUGCCACCGAAUACAUUAGCAUGGGAUAAUGGAAUAGGACCCUGUCCUCCUAUUUUCAGUUGGUUUUGGCAGCGCGAGGACUAGGGUAAUGAUUAAUAGGGAUAGUUGGGGGCAUUAAUAUUUAAUUGUCAGAGGUGAAAUUCUUGGAUUUAUGAAAGAUUAACUUCUGCGAAAGCAUCUGCCAAGGAUGUUUUCAUUAAUCAAGAACGAAAGUUAGGGGAUCGAAGACGAUCAGAUACCGUCGUAGUCUUAACCAUAAACGAUGCCGACCAGCGAUUAGGAGACGUUGAAUACAAAACACCACCAUCGGCGCGGUCGUCCUUGGCGCGUUCGUGUUCACGCACGAGCG
rnacentral:rRNA from 2 species